rnacentral:rRNA from 1 species
CCAGCAGCUGCGGUAAUUCCAGCUCCAAUAGCGUAUAUUAAAGUUGUUGCAGUUAAAAAGCUCGUAGUUGGAUUUCUGGUCGGAGCGGUCGGUCCGCCCUUUACGGGGUGUGUACCAUGUCCAGCUUCGGCCAUCCUCGAGGAGAGCGUAGCUGGCAUUAAGUUGUCGGUUGCGGGAUCCUCGUCAUUUACUGUGAGCAAAAUAGAGUGUUCAAAGCAGGCUUAUGCCGUUGAAUACAUUAGCAUGGAAUAAUAAGAUACGACCUUGGGUCUAUUUUGUUGGUUUGCGGUCCGAGGUAAUGAUUAAUAGGGAUAGUUGGGGGUAUUCGUAUUCAAUUGUCAGAGGUGAAA